CGGGAGGCAGCAGUGGGGAAUAUUGCACAAUGGGGGAAACCCUGAUGCAGCAACGCCGCGUGGAGGAUGACACAUUUCGGUGCGUAAACUCCUUUUAUAUGGGAAGAUAAUGACGGUACCAUAUGAAUAAGCACCGGCUAACUC
rnacentral:rRNA from 1 species